rnacentral:lncRNA from 1 species
AGCUAUCUAUGGUUGAGACCCUCGGUGAGUCAGAUAUUAUUUGAUGUUUUAUUGUUUGAUAUGUUAUUAGACACGACACAGGCUUGGCCAGACUUAUGCGUCUAUUAUUGGGAUUGGGUGAUAUGGUAUUUAUUAUCGGUUAUCACAUUUGACACAUGAUGAGAUAUGUUUUUUUGUCAUUAAUACUUUCAUUUUGUAGAGGCAUAAUAUAUUGGGAACUGGAUGGAUCGUUCAUCAUGCGCUACCAACAAAGAUGCACAAAAAAUAGAGAAAGUCAACCGAACGGUAAAAAAAUAAAUGCAGAAAAAAGAAACCAAGAUUUUCGUGAUUCGGCAAUUGCCUACGUCCACGGAUAGAACAAAAGAGGCGUAUUCCUCUAUAUGAAGAAACAGAAAUAUAAACUUAACACCUUAUAUCUUCUCCAGAUAAAAAAUCAAGAGCCUUAUAAUGAAUCCCACAUUUCUCUUGUUUCAACGAAAACUUUAAGAAAAUACCGAAAAAGUUUUUCGUAAAAUCGAGAAGACCAAAUUAGAGAAGUAUAGAAAUUUCUGACCAAACUUUUUUAUAUCGUUCCUUCGAAGAAUCCUAACCGUUCAGGCAAUUGGUCGAGAACCACCGUUCCUCCCCGACUUCAAUCUGUCGCAUGCGUGCUGCCUCUCUUCCCUUGCUGCUGUACGGCUUCAAGAGAAACCGGCCACCUUUU